AUUUGUUAAGCGCUUACUAGGUGCCGAGCACUGUUCUAAGCGCUGGGGGAGAGACGGGGUCAUCAGGUUGUCCCACGUGAGGCUCACGGUCUUCAUCCCCAUUUGACAGAUGAGGUCACUGAGGCCCAGAGAAGUGAAGUGACUUGCCCACAAUCACACAGCUGACAGGUGGCAGAGCCGGGAUUCGAACCCAUGUCCUCCGACUCACAAGCCCGGGCUCUUUCCACUGAGCCACACUGCUUCUCUAAUAAUGUUGGUAUUUGUUAAGCGCUUACUAUGUGCAGAGCCCUGUUUUAAGCGCUGGGGUAGAUACAGGGUCAUCAGGUUGUCCCACGUGAGGCUCACAGUCUUCAUCCCCAUUUGACAGAUGAGGGCACUGAGGCACCGAGAAGUGUAGUGACUUGCUCACAGUCACACAGCUGACAGGUGGCAGAUCCGGGAUUCGAAUCCAUGACCUCUGGCUCCCAAGCCUGGGCUCUUUCCACUGAGCCACGCUGCUUCUCUGGCCCCGAAGCAGCCAGCCCGGCCAGGUCCAACAUCAUUUGUUUAAGGCCCUGGGCCUAGUGAGGAGAAGGGGAAUCCUCAUGACUUAUAAACUCAAAGCCCCCCUCUAGACGGUAAGGUCCUGGUGGGCAGGAAUUCCAUCUACCAACUCUGUUGUAUUUUACUUUUCCAAGCACUUAGUACAGUGCUCUGCCCACAGUAAGUUUUCAAAUACCAUUGCUUGAUUGACUGACCUAUUUACACAAUCUGAAAUUAUUACUGACAUCAAAAGAAGUCACAACAUAAUGACGUUGUAUUAUUUUUGGUGUCACAUUAGAUGAAUUAUGAGACAGCCUGCACAACUGAGUUUGUUUCUUUGACUCCAGUGAUUAUACAAUAUCAAUUUAUUAUAUAUCAAACAUCCACGUUUGAGGUACAAUAGAGGACGAAAAGGGGCACGGCCUAUUGGAAAGAGCACAGAUCUGGGAGUCGAAGGACCUGGGUUCUAAUCCUGGCUUUGUCACUUGUCUUCUGUGUGACACUGGGCAACUCACUCCACUUCCUUCUGUGCCUCACUGACCUCAUCUGCAAAAUAGGG
rnacentral:lncRNA from 1 species